rnacentral:rRNA from 1 species
GACGAACGCUGGCGGCGUGCUUAACACAUGCAAGUCGAACGGAAAGGCCCUGCUUUUGUGGGGUGCUCGAGUGGCGAACGGGUGAGUAACACGUGAGUAACCUGCCCCUGACUUUGGGAUAACUUCAGGAAACUGGGGCUAAUACCGGAUAGGAGCUCCUGCUGCAUGGUGGGGGUUGGAAAGUUUCGGCGGUUGGGGAUGGACUCGCGGCUUAUCAGCUUGUUGGUGGGGUAGUGGCUUACCAAGGCUUUGACGGGUAGCCGGCCUGAGAGGGUGACCGGCCACAUUGGGACUGAGAUACGGCCCAGACUCCUACGGGAGGCAGCAGGGGGGAAUAUUGCACAAUGGGCGGAAGCCUGAUGCAGCAACGCCGCGUGCGGGAUGACGGCCUUCGGGUUGUAAACCGCUUUCGCCUGUGACGAAGCGUGAGUGACGGUAAUGGGUAAAGAAGCACCGGCUAACUACGUG